rnacentral:rRNA from 1 species
AUCCUGGCUCAGGACGAACGCUGGCGGCGUGCCUAAUACAUGCAAGUAGAACGCUGAAGGAGGAGCUUGCUCUUCUGGAUGAGUUGCGAACGGGUGAGUAACGCGUAGGUAACCUGCCUGGUAGCGGGGGAUAACUAUUGGAAACGAUAGCUAAUACCGCAUAAUAGCAGUUGUUGCAUGACAACUGUUUGAAAGGUGCAAUUGCAUCACUACCAGAUGGACCUGCGUUG